rnacentral:rRNA from 1 species
GAUGAACGCUAGCUACAGGCUUAACACAUGCAAGUCGAGGGGCAGCAUGGUCUUAGCUUGCUAAGGCCGAUGGCGACCGGCGCACGGGUGAGUAACACGUAUCCAACCUGCCGUCUACUCUUGGACAGCCUUCUGAAAGGAAGAUUAAUACAAGAUGGCAUCAUGAGUCCACAUGUUCACAUGAUUAAAGGUAUUCCGGUAGACGAUGGGGAUGCGUUCCAUUAGAUAGUAGGCGGGGUAACGGCCCACCUAGUCUUCGAUGGAUAGGGGUUCUGAGAGGAAGGUCCCCCACAUUGGAACUGAGACACGGUCCAAACUCCUACGGGAGGCAGCAGUGAGGAAUAUUGGUCAAUGGGCGAGAGCCUGAACCAGCCAAGUAGCGUGAAGGAUGACUGCCCUAUGGGUUGUAAACUUCUUUUAUAAAGGAAUAAAGUCGGGUAUGCAUACCCGUUUGCAUGUACUUUAUGAAUAAGGAUCGGCUAACUCCGUGCCAGCAGCCGCGGUAAUACGGAGGAUCCGAGCGUUAUCCGGAUUUAUUGGGUUUAAAGGGAGCGUAGAUGGAUGUUUAAGUCAGUUGUGAAAGUUUGCGGCUCAACCGUAAAAUUGCAGUUGAUACUGGAUAUCUUGAGUGCAGUUGAGGCAGGCGGAAUUCGUGGUGUAGCGGUGAAAUGCUUAGAUAUCACGAAGAACUCCGAUUGCGAAGGCAGCCUGCUAAGCUGCAACUGACAUUGAGGCUCGAAAGUGUGGGUAUCAAACAGGAUUAGAUACCCUGGUAGUCCACACGGUAAACGAUGAAUACUCGCUGUUUGCGAUAUACUGCAAGCGGCCAAGCGAAAGCGUUAAGUAUUCCACCUGGGGAGUACGCCGGCAACGGUGAAACUCAAAGGAAUUGACGGGGGCCCGCACAAGCGGAGGAACAUGUGGUUUAAUUCGAUGAUACGCGAGGAACCUUACCCGGGCUUAAAUUGCAGAUGAAUUACGGUGAAAGCCGUAAGCCGCAAGGCAUCUGUGAAGGUGCUGCAUGGUUGUCGUCAGCUCGUGCCGUGAGGUGUCGGCUUAAGUGCCAUAACGAGCGCAACCCUUGUUGUCAGUUACUAACAGGUUCCGCUGAGGACUCUGACAAGACUGCCAUCGUAAGAUGUGAGGAAGGUGGGGAUGACGUCAAAUCAGCACGGCCCUUACGUCCGGGGCUACACACGUGUUACAAUGGGGGGUACAGAGGGCCGCUACCACGCGAGUGGAUGCCAAUCCCAAAAACCUCUCUCAGUUCGGACUGGAGUCUGCAACCCGACUCCACGAAGCUGGAUUCGCUAGUAAUCGCGCAUCAGCCACGGCGCGGUGAAUACGUUCCCGGGCCUUGUACACACCGCCCGUCAAGCCAUGGGAGCCGGGGGUACCUGAAGUGCGUAACCGCGAGGAGCGCCCUAGGGUAAAACUGGUGACUGGGGC